UACGAGAACCCCAAGCGUUAUCCGGAAUCAUUGGGCGUAAAGGGCUCGUAGGCGGUUUGUCGCGUCGGGAGUGAAAACACCGGGCUUAACUCGGUGCUUGCUUUCGAUACGGGCAGACUAGAGGCAUGCAGGGGAGAACGGAAUUCCUGGUGUAGCGGUGAAAUGCGUAGAUAUCUGGAGGAACACCGGUGGCGAAGGCGACAUCCUGGACCGGCAUUGACGCUGAGGAGCGAAAGCCAGGGGAGCAAACGGGG
rnacentral:rRNA from 1 species